AUACGUAGGUGACAAGCGUUAUCCGGAUUUACUGGGCGUAAAGGGCGUGUAGGCGGUCUUGCAAGUCAGAAGUGAAAUUCCUGAGCUCAACUCGGGCGCUGCUUCUGAAACUGCAGGACUUGAGUGCUGGAGGGGAUAGCGGAAUUCCUAGGGGAGCGGUAAAAUGCGCAGAUAUUAGGAAGAACACCGGUGGCGAAGGCGGCUAUCUGGACAGUAACUGACGCUGAGGCGCGAAAGCGUGGGGAGCAAACAGGAUUAGAUACCCUGGUAGCCCACGCCGUAAACGAUGAAUACUAGGUGUAGGGGGUAUCGACUCCCUCUGUGCCGCAGUUAACACAAUAAGUAUUCCGCCUGGGGAGUACGGCCGCAAGGUUGAAACUUAAAGGAAUUGACGGGG
rnacentral:rRNA from 1 species